rnacentral:snoRNA from 1 species
ACAGCCACAGUUCAAAGAAUCACUUUAGAGUAGACGUCCCACCAUAAAGCUCUUUAAAAGAGCCACAGAAUCUCCACCCUUGCUGAUGACUGCUAUGUCCUCGAUGCCCUAAAGUGAAGCCAUUUGGACUCCCGCCUCGACUGGCACGCGUGCUGCUUGCAGUGUCUGCGUGUUCGGUCCAGGGAGUGGUGAUGAUCUUAACCUGGUCUCGACGUCUGACUUCGGUCGGUCGGGCCUGGUGGGUGUCGAGGAGGUCUGAAAGGU